rnacentral:tRNA from 1 species
UGGGCAGAAGUUCAGUGGUAGAGCUCCCGCUUCGUAGGCGGGAAGACCUGGGUUCGAUUCCCGGCUGAUUUG